AGUUAUGAUACCGUCCUU
rnacentral:sRNA from 1 species